rnacentral:rRNA from 1 species
AAUGAACGCUGGCGGCGUGCUUAACACAUGCAAGUCGAGCGAGAAAGCUCCUUCGGGAGUAAGUACAGCGGCGGACGAGUGAGUAACACGUGGGAAUUUACCCUUCAGUGAAGAAUACCAUCGAGAAAUCGGUGUUAAUACUGCAUACGUUCCUUCGGGAAGAAAGGUGGCCUCUAGCUGCCGCUGAUGGAUAAGCCUGCGGACUAUUAGCUAGUUGGUGAGGUAAUGGCUCACCAAGGCGAUGAUGGUUAACCGGCCUGAGAGGGUGUACGGUCACGUUGGAACUGAGACACGGUCCAAACUCCUACGGGUGGCAG